rnacentral:rRNA from 1 species
UGUAGUCUCGCACAGAUGCAUAUCAAUAAGCGGAGGAAAAGAAACUAACAAGGAUUCCCCUAGUAACGGCGAGUGAAGCGGGAAGAGCUCAAAUUUGAAAUCUUAAAGGGUUUCCCUUUACGAAUUGUAGUUUAAAGAAGUGUUUUCUGUUGAGGUUUUGGUAAAAGUUCUUUGGAAUAGGACAUCAUAGAGGGUGAGAAUCCCGUAUUUGACCUUUACUUUCAACUUUGUGAUACACUUUCAAAGAGACGGAUUGUUUGGGAAUGCAGUCCAAAAUGGGUGGUAAAUUUCAUCUAAAGCUAAAUAUUGGCGAGAGACCGAUAGCGAACAAGUACCGUGAGGGAAAGAUGAAAAGAACUUUGAAAAGAGAGUUAAACAGUACGUGAAAUUGUCAAAAGGGAAGCGUUUGACACCAGUGUUGUUUUUCUGAAAAUCAAUUAAAGAACUGUUUAUGCUAAGCUGUUUAGACUUUAUCAGCUAUCUGUUUAGUUUUGAGCUUUCCUUUAAUGCACUUUUCAGUUAACAAGUCAACAUCAAUUUCUUUUGCUGUAAAAAAGCUUGAGGAAGGUGGCUUGAGAUUCGUCUUAAGUGUUUAUAGCCUCUUGCCUAUGCAGUCGGAGAGAUUGAGGUCUGCAGCGUAGAUCCUUCGGGGCUAAAUGCAUUUGUGCUAAGUUAUAGCAUUUUAUAGACAACUUGUUGACUAUGAUUUGUCUUGUAGCUUACUCGCUUAUGUUAUUUUACCUACGCUUAGGAUGUUGACGCAUGAGAUAUACGC